rnacentral:rRNA from 1 species
UACGGGAGGCAGCAGUGGGGAAUAUUGGACAAUGGAGGGAACUCUGAUCCAGCAAUUCUGUGUGUGUGAAGAAGGUUUUAGGACUGUAAAACACUUUUAGUAGGGAAGAAAAAAAUGACGGUACCUACAGAAGAAGCAACGGCUAAAUACGUGCCAGCAGCCGCGGUAAUACGUAUGUUGCGAGCGUUAUCCGGAAUUAUUGGGCUUAAAGGGCAUCUAGGCGGUAAGACAAGUUGAAGGUGAAAACCUGUGGCUCAACCAUAGGCUUGCCUACAAAACUGUUGAACUAGAGUACUGGAAAGGUGGGUGGAACUACACGAGUAGAGGUGAAAUUCGUAGAUAUGUGUAGGAAUGCCGAUGAUGAAGAUAACUCACUGGACAGAAACUGACGCUGAAGUGCGAAAGCUAGGGGAGCAAACAGGAUUAGAUACCCUGGUAGUCCUAGCUGUAAACGAUGAUCACUGGGUGUGGGGAUGCGAAGUCUCUGUGCCGAAGCAAAAGCGAUAAGUGAUCCGCCUGGG